rnacentral:lncRNA from 13 species
AUGAGUGUGAUCUGGUCAAAUCCCCACAGAGACUUCAAAAGAGUGGCUGUGUGUGUCCUUGAUGUCCUUUGUUUUAAAUGUAUUAUUUUUGUAUAUAUUUUUUGCAUUGUUGUUUGCUGUUUUCUUCUGUCGUUUCCUUUUUUCUCUUUAGUUCAUUCUCUUGGUUGUUGGUGCAUUGGGGGGUUCUUGGGGGUGGGGAAUGGUAUUAAUUGUAUUUUUUAUUUUUCUUCUUUCCUAUUUUUCUUCCUGGGGGGACUGUGGGAGGGGUCUCGAAUGGUUGAGGGACAGCUAUUGGAGAACUGUGGGGGGAUCAUGGAGGGUUCGAUUUCACGUUUUGGCCUGGUGGUAGAUUUGUCAACGUGCCCUUGUUGUUAAGCGGCUUCACUGCGAGUAUAUUGUAUGUUUCGGAUAUUCAAUAAAAAAACUGUUUUUUUUUUUAAAGACAUCAGUCAGGAAGUUAUAGCUUGGUCGCAAAUGGGUCUUCAAAAUGGACAAUGACCCCAAGCAUACUUCCAAAGUUGUGACAAAAUGACUUAAGGACAACAAAGUCAAGGUAUUGGAGUGGCCAUCACAAAGCCCUGACCUCAAUCCCUUAGAAAAUGUGUGGGCACAACUGAAAAAGCGUGUGCGAGCAAGGAGGCCUACAAACCUGACUCUGUUACACCAGCUCUGUCAGGAGGAAUGGGCCAAAAUUCACCCAACUUAUUGUGAGAAGCUUGUGGAAGGCUAUCCGAAACAUUUGACCCAAGUUAAACAAUUUAAAGACAAUGCUACCAAAUACUAAUUGAGUGUAUGUAAACUUCUGACCCACUGGGAAUGUGUUGAAAGAAAUUAAAGCUGAAAUAAAUACUUCUCUCUACUAUUAUUCUGACAUUUCACAUGCUUAAAAUAAAGUGGUUAUCCUAACUGACCUAAAACAGGGAUUUUUUUAUCACCUUCUAAAGACAUUCACAGUGCUUAAGACUGUGUAAUAGACUACUGAGAUGGUAGGCUAUUCAAUAAGACAUUUUGAUGUGCAACCUAAUCCAGUGAUUGUCAUGAAUUGUGGCUUGACAAUAGGGUAUUGAUGAGCUUUGUCGGAAUUUUGUUGUUCAAUAGAGAUGAAUUUGCCUACAUCUUUAUGUGUACUAAUUUCAUAGGCUCAUUUAUUUUGGGGCUAAUUCACCACAUGAGGAAGUGAAAACUCAAAACAUAUUAGCCCACACAUUAGUCAUGACUUACUCUAACUGUACAUUUUAUGUCUUAAAAAAUACUUUGCAGUUGUAGCCUCCUACCCUAUGCAAACGCAAUGACCGAUGCGCAAUUGUGCAUUUCAUGCUUCGUGUCUUAAAACCAUGUCAAAUAUCUUGGUUGGAAAAUAUUUGCUAUUGAGCUCAAUAUUUAAAAAAUAUAUCCACAGAAAACUGAGAACAACAGUAGUUGCUUCCAAAGCUAUUUAUUUCCCGCAAUUGGAUUUUGAAACGUUAUACAAGAAGCCUUUUUACCGUCUCCCGGAGGGCACAUCAGCAGGCCCCAGGGAAACAGGCCCUGCAGGCAAUAGGCGAGGGUAUAGCCUACUAUUGUAGACUAUUCUCCCUAUUAUAAUUCUAUGCACACUAAUCUUCCAACAUUAACCUGGGUUGAAGAACUGAAUGUGGCAAUUGUCAGAAUGAAUCAAUCCCCAGUUUUCUUUAUUUUGUGCGUAAAUGCUUUCCUAACCAUUUUUUUAUGAUUCAUAAAUACUUUCUGAAACCUAAAUAAUCUAUUUUUAAAUCUACCAAUUGGUGCAGAAACAGAGACAAAUAUUCUUAUAUUUAGAUGGCUAUAUUUCAUUGAUCUGUGGAUAAAUUACUGUAAAAUGAUUCUAUUGAGUCUGUUGACAUAAUUCGAACUAAAAGGCACACUGUAUUUAAAGGGAUGGCUUCAGAUAAAUGUACUGAAAACCCUAUUGAAUGAAAACUCCAUGAGAAAAUCUAUUGGCCAGCAAGUCUGAGGGUUUUCAGCUGUUGAAUGACAUUUCUUCAGAGCAUGCAAGGGAGCCACACCUGUGACUGACUAAGGUAAGUCUGACUACCAAAUACUGAAAAGUGCAUACGAAAGGUGUGCUUAGGAAAGGCUUAAAUUCCUAAGUCUCAAUCGGCCCCAUUGUGGAUAACCAAACCAGUUCUCAUGACUUAAUCACAACAUUAUUACUGACUAAACUUCCAAGCAAUUUUCCUGUAUUAAAGCACUGUGAAAGAAAGUGUUACACAAGCUAUUUUACAGGGCACAAUUCAACUCAGGGCGCAAUUCAAGAGAUGUUCAGUUAGGUAAAGAUGGCCAGCAACAACUCCUCUUUUCUUCCCUAGUCCUUGAUGGAGGUUUAACCAUAAUACUCUAGUGGACUGUGUUCUG